rnacentral:rRNA from 1 species
AGAGUUUGAUCCUGGCUCAGGACGAACGCUGGCGGCGCGCCUAACACAUGCAAGUCGAACGAGAGAGAAGGAGCUUGCUUCUUCGAUCGAGUGGCGAACGGGUGAGUAACGCGUGAGGAACCUGCCUCAAAGAGGGGGACAACAGUUGGAAACGACUGCUAAUACCGCAUAAGCCCACGGGUCGGCAUCGACCUGAGGGAAAAGGAGCAAAUCCGCUUUGAGAUGGCCUCGCGUCCGAUUAGCUAGUUGGUGAGGUAACGGCCGACCAAGGCGACGAUCGGUAGCCGGACUGAGAGGUUGAACGGCCACAUUGGGACUGAGACACGGCCCAGACUCCUACGGGAGGCA